CGUUGCUGUCGGUCGACGCGGCGUUGAGCGCGCGGCGGCGUUCGUCGACAACACAGACCGGCCAGACACGCCACUCUGUCACGGCAGUUGCUUGUCGGAUGACUCGGCCGCCAGCCGUUCGCAGCGGCUACCAACCAGGUGCGUUGUCAAGUGUGCGCGCGCGCUCGGCAAAUCAGCUUCCACACAGCGGGCCGACGGAGUCGCCUGCAGUCGACCCAGUGCGAGCAGUCGCAGGCAUUCAAGAGUGUGCGAAAGCGAAACGAAAACGGGAGGACAUAAAAAAAAAAAAUACCCACAGCACGGCAGCGAGUCUCAAGACACGAAAGAAAGAAACAGCGAGCACACAACGUGGAAGUGACGGUGGUGGGCACGAGCGAACAGUUCCUUUCCGGGCACAGCGGCAAAGCCAGUUUCGAGGGUCCGCGCCAGAAAAGAAAAACAAAACGCGAUGAAAAAAGCAUAGCCGAAAAAAAAAAAAAAAAAAAAAAAGGAAGAACGGAAGCGGCUGCGCGAGCAGAGCACAGCGUCAUGUGGCGACACCUGGGAAUAAUAGCGGGAAUCGUAUGCCGUGCGGCGCCGCAGUGAUCGCGCGCACUGCAGCGCAGCCCCGGGCCACGUCACCCGCGCCGCCGAACCUCAAACCGCCAAUGCGGCUCUUGCCUGAAAGCAUAUCGUUCCCUCUACGCAUCAAAGACCGCGAUUUCCACAAACAGACCGGGCACCUUUACUUUGCCUUCCUCGAGUUCUCGAGAAAGGUGCCAAAAACGAUGAAUAGCGCAGCAUGCAGCGCGCCUUUCGCAGACCGGCAUUGUUUAACUAUACACCAGUUGUGUUGCUGACGGGGUGAACGCAAAGACUGAUACAAAAACGCAAGUUUUAUAGCAACCGCUACAGUGCAAGCGUGCUAAAGCAUCUAGGGGUCACUCCUGGACCAUUGCGUGUUUCCAUGAGCACGCUAUCGAUGGACCUGCACCGGGCACUGGAAGCGGAUCCUGUGGAUUAUCUAUAGAUAUUUAAAUAAACAAGCUAUGAUACAAUCAGCAAGAAAGACUACAAUCGAACCACCUAUGGAGAGACGACUGUGCACACCGAAACAUACCGACUACAAUAUGAAAAUUUGCAAGAUGGAGAUUAAAUAGGCAGAGUAAACAUAGCCAUUGCGCUGAAAGGUUAACCCUUGCACAUUAACAAUGCAGUCACCAUCUGAAAUCGGACACAAAUAUCAUGUGUCAAUUGAAGGUUGUGUUGAUGUGCAGUAAGGGCCCCAAGGUGAGAGAAAUAGUCGAGGAAGGCACACAAAUAAAGCACCUCAGAAGUGUUUCUUGUUCUAUUUAGGGCAGCAAAACUCGUUUGGCUGUGAAAAUCAUGAUAAACAUUUAUGGCUUGUACAUAUUAAAUUUGACACGAACAGACUACUAUGUCAAUAGAUUGAUUUACAGGUAGUGUUUAACAUCCCAAUGCAAAACUUUGGCUAUGAGAGAUGAUGUAGUGAAGG